rnacentral:rRNA from 1 species
AGAGGCGCCUACUUCUUAUCAGCUUGUUGGUGAGGUAACGGCUCACCAAGGCUAUGACGAGUAGCUGGUCUGAGAGGAUGAUCAGNCACACUGGGACUGAGACACGGCCCAGACUCCUACGGGAGGCAGCAGUAAGGAAUCUUCCGCAAUGGGCGAAAGCCUGACGGAGCAACACCGCGUGAAGGAUGACGGCCUUCGGGUUGUAAACUUCUUUUAUUAGGGAACAAUUUUGAGUGUACCUUAUGAAUAAGUCACGGCUAAUCACGUGCCGGCAGCCGCGGUAAUACGUGAGUGGCUAGCGUUAUCCGGAAUCAUUGGGCGUAAAGCGUCAGUAGGAGGUAUGUUAAGUGAGAUGUAAAAGACAACGGCUCAACCGGGGUAUGGCAUCUCAUACUGGCAUACUAGAGGAAUGCAAAGGCAAAUGGAAUUCCAGGAGUAGGGGUAAUAUCCGUAGAGCCCUGGAGGAACACCAAUAGCGAAGGCAUAUUUGCUGGGCAUUUCCUGACUCUCAGUGACGAAAGCGUGGGGAGCGAACCGGAUUAGAUACCCGGGUAGUCCACGCCCUAAACGAUGGGUAUUCGGCGCAAGAAGCAUCGAUCCUUUUUGUGCCUAAGCUAACGCCGUUAAGUACCCCGCCUGGGGAGUACGAUCGCAAGAUUAAAAACUCAAAGGAAUUGACGGGGAUCCACACAAGCGUUGGAGCAUGUGGUUUAAUUCGAUGAUAAGCGAGGAACCUUACCUAGGCGUGACAUCGUAUCUAACGCUCUGGAAACAGAAGAAGUGCCCUUCGGGGAAAGAAUAUGACAGGUGCUGCAUGGUCGUCGUCAGCUCGUGCCGUGAGGUGUACGGUUAAGUCCGAUAACGAGCGCAACC